rnacentral:rRNA from 1 species
AACGCUAGCUACAGGCUUAACACAUGCAAGUCGAGGGGCAGCAUGAUUGAAGCUUGCUUCAAUUGAUGGCGACCGGCGCACGGGUGAGUAACACGUAUCCAACCUUCCGUACACUCAGGGAUAGCCUUUCGAAAGAAAGAUUAAUACCUGAUAGUAUGGUGAGAUUGCAUGAUGGCACCAUUAAAGAUUUAUUGGUAAACGAUGGGGAUGCGUUCCAUUAGGUAGUAGGCGGGGUAACGGCCCACCUAGCCGGCGAUGGAUAGGGGUUCUGAGAGGAAGGUCCCCCACAUUGGAACUGAGACACGGUCCAAACUCCUACGGGAGGCAGCAGUGAGGAAUAUUGGUCAAUGGGCGAGAGCCUGAACCAGCCAAGUAGCGUGAAGGAUGAAGGUCCUACGGAUUGUAAACUUCUUUUAUACGGGAAUAAAGUUUCCUACGUGUAGGAUUUUGUAUGUACCGUAUGAAUAAGCAUUGGCUAACUCCGUGCCAGCAGCCGCGGUAAUACGGAGGAUGCGAGCGUUAUCCGGAUUUAUUGGGUUUAAAGGGAGCGCAGACGGGAGAUUAAGUCAGUUGUGAAAGUUUGCGGCUCAACCGUAAAAUUGCAGUUGAUACUGGUUUCCUUGAGUGCAGUUGAGGCAGGCGGAAUUCGUGGUGUAGCGGUGAAAUGCUUAGAUAUCACGAAGAACUCCGAUUG